rnacentral:rRNA from 1 species
UACGAAGGUCCCGAGCGUUGUUCGGAAUCACUGGGCGUAAAGGGUGCGUAGGCGGCGCGGCAAGUCGGAUGUGAAAGCCCGGGGCUCAACCCCGGAAUGGCAUUGGAUACUGCCGUGCUGGAGCGGUGGAGAGGGAUCUGGAAUUCACGGUGUAGCAGUGAAAUGCGUAGAUAUCGUGAGGAAGGCUCGUGGCGAAGGCGAGAUCCUGGACACUGACUGACGCUGAGGCACGAAGGCCAGGGGAGCGAAAGGG